GGAAGGAUGGGAGAGUGGUCGAUUCCAGACGCCUCGAAAGCGUCCAGGCCGCAAGGCCUCGCAGGUUCGAAUCCUGCUCCUUCCGCCA
rnacentral:tRNA from 1 species